rnacentral:rRNA from 1 species
CCUACGGGCGGCUGCAGUAGGGAAUCUUCCACAAUGGGCGAAAGCCUGAUGGAGCAACGCCGCGUGGGUGAAGAAGGUCUUCGGAUCGUAAAACCCUGUUGUUAGAGAAGAAAGUGCGUGAGAGUAACUGUUCACGUUUCGACGUUAUCUAAACAGAAAGCCACGGCUAACUACGUGCCAGCAGCCGCGGUAAUACGUAGGUGGCAAGCGUUUUCCGGAUUUAUUGGGCGUAAAGGGAACGCAGGCGGUCUUUUAAGUCUGAUGUGAACGCCUUCGGCUUAACCGGAGUAGUGCAUUGGAAACUGGGAGAGUUGAGUGCAGAAGAGGAGAGUGGAAGUCCAUGUGUAGCGGUGAAAUGCGUAGAUAUAUGGAGGAAGACCAGUGGCGAAAGCGGAUCUCUGGUCUGUAACUGACGCGGAGGUUCGAAAGCGUGGGUAGCAAACAGGAUUAGAUACCCUAGUAGUC